rnacentral:rRNA from 1 species
UACAGAGGGUGCGAGCGUUGUCCGGAAUCACUGGGCGUAAAGGGCGCGUAGGUGGUGGCUUAAGCGUGCGGUGAAAGCUCGGGGCUCAACUCCGAGUCGGCCGUGCGAACUGGGCUCACUGGAGCAUAGUAGAGGCAGGUGGAAUUCCGGGUGUAGCGGUGGAAUGCGUAGAGAUCCGGAAGAACACCGGUGGCGAAGGCGGGUCUCUGGGCCGUAACUGACGCUGAGGAGCGAAAGCGUGGGGAGCGAACAGG